CUUACACAAGCUGAAACUUCUAUUUAAAUAACCUCUUUAUGUUAUUUACAUAAGAGUAAGAAGAGGAAUCAAAUCCCACUGGUGUUACCAUCAGACAAUGAGAUCAUUGCUUGGCUUACUCUCUUUAUGUGAGCUAUGCAUCCAUGGACAGAUCAACACAUUUGCCAAUGCUAAUAUUACCUUUAAAGUAUUAUAAUUUACGUGGCUUUGCUUUCUACUCAUUAUCAUUCCAAAUAAGUCAAAUCCUUUACUAAUAUAAUUCAAAGGGUAACUUGCCUGUAUUACAGCAUACAAAUAAAUAAUAAAUACAUAAUGUAG